GUCUAUGGCCAUGCCACCCCGAAUGUGCCCCAUCUCAUCUGAUCUCGGAAGCUAAGAAAAGUAGGGCCUUGUUAGCACUUGGAUGAGAGACCACCUUGGAAUACCAGGUGCUGUAGGCA
ensembl:rRNA 5S_rRNA 5S ribosomal RNA